ensembl:lincRNA
CGAGAUAUACCUUUCUGUACCCUAGAAAACCAUGCUGUGUUCCAGUUUACUUUGAAUGUUUCAGUGAAAAUGAUGAAGCUGAAAAAAUGAUGGAGACCCGUUUUACAUGGUCACCUGAAUGUGGAAAAGUUGAGUUGGAGCAAAACUGGCAUGGCCGUACUGGAUGGACCUCAGCAUGACCAGGACACAUUUCAGCUCAAAUCCCCUGUGCCAAGAACACAUUCUGCCAAGGACCACCACCUCUUCCCACAACUAUGAGUGGAUUUAUGUCAUCACAGGAGGUGCAAAAACGUGUGGUGAGAGAGCUGGCUUACCAGAGCACCGAUGGACUUGGAUACCUGAGAUAUCUGCUUGGGAUCCCACACUUUCAAGGUCUCUCCUCUGGCCUUCUUCUGGUUCUGCGACUCCUUACAGUGCUGGGAGUUGGUGAUGCCAACAGGACAUACGCUCCCAGAGCCUACCUCUCCCAGAUCACUUUAAAAGGCACCCAGGACCCCAGAAUUCUCAUCCUCAAAAGCAUGGAGCUCAGCUCUUGGCCCUCAACAAAUCUCUUCCCCAUAAAGAUCCUUUUGAGAGCUUAGGAUGUCCCCUGGAUGGUUUUGGUUGCAGAUUGUGGUGGUGGAGGGAGCUAUACAAUUUAAUCUAUUACCAUUAAUUGGAUGCGCUAAUGGCAGAUUGGGUAGUGAUAAUGCCAUAAGAGGUAGUGUGUGAGCCGUGUGCUGCAUCUGUGCUAGCUCAGGUAAGUCAGCACACAGCACCUGCAGCCUCCUCUCACCUCUUCCCUGAGCAGCACCUUUUCACCUGAACAUGCUGAUCCCCUAGUGCUUCAUCUUGACAGCAACUUAACAAGCCCUGGGCAGCUUUUUAAAAUAAAUGACUAUGAUAUUGACUAUGAAUCUACAUAAAAGCCACUUGUUUUUUAGUCAUAAUCUGUGUCUAACUGCAGAAGAAAUUCACACCUUUGAAAAACAAAAAUGUAAAAAGUGAAAAUUGUUUGUAACCACAAUAUUCUGAAAUAGAACCUUUUUGUUAGAUCAUUUUCAAGAGGAUUUUUCAUACUUUCCUACAAUAAUACCAAUGUAUAUGCACU